CCUACGGGCGGCAGCAGUGGGGAAUAUUGGACAAUGGGCGAAAGCCUGAUCCAGCCAUGCCGCGUGUGUGAAGAAGGCCUUCGGGUUGUAAAGCACUUUCAGUGGGGAAGAAAGCCUUGGGGCUAAUACCCUCGAGGAAGGACAUCACCCACAGAAGAAGCACCGGCUAACUCCGUGCCAGCAGCCGCGGUAAUACGGAGGGUGCGAGCGUUAAUCGGAAUUACUGGGCGUAAAGCGCGCGUAGGCGGUCUGAUAAGCCGGUUGUGAAAGCCCCGGGCUCAACCUGGGAACGGCAUCCGGAACUGUCAGGCUAGAGUGCAGGAGAGGAAGGUAGAAUUCCCGGUGUAGCGGUGAAAUGCGUAGAGAUCGGGAGGAAUACCAGUGGCGAAGGCGGCCUUCUGGACUGACACUGACGCUGAGGUGCGAAAGCGUGGGUAGCAAACAGGAUUAGAUACCCAGGUAGUC
rnacentral:rRNA from 1 species